rnacentral:tRNA from 1 species
GAAUUUUAAGUAUAAUUUUUUGUAUAACUAAUUGUUGAUUAGUAGGUUAAAGAUUCU